UACGUAGGGGGCUAGCGUUGUCCGGAUUUAUUGGGCGUAAAGAGCUCGUAGGCGGCCUGUCGCGUCGGUUGUGAAAGCCCGGGGCUUAACCCCGGGUCUGCAGUCGAUACGGGCAGGCUAGAGUUCGGUAGGGGAGAUCGGAAUUCCUGGUGUAGCGGUGAAAUGCGCAGAUAUCAGGAGGAACACCGGUGGCGAAGGCGGAUCUCUGGGCCGAUACUGACGCUGAGGAGCGAAAGCGUGGGGAGCGAACAGG
rnacentral:rRNA from 1 species